rfam:Nicotiana sylvestris Nsyl_contig31000, whole genome shotgun sequence.
AUACUGUGGUGAGGACAUAUAACCAGCAUCCCCUUGAAUCAUUCCCAUGUUUCAUGCAGUGUAUCCAUUGGUCUCUGUUUGAAACUCAAAAUUUCAUCAAUUUGUUG